CCGCUCUCAGCUCCGUUUCACAGAUUUUUCAACCUUCGUCAAAAAUCUCCACCGAACCAGCGGCACUUUCGGGCUGUAAUUCAACUUAAAACGAAUUUCUGUGCACAGAAUGUUCUGGAAUCCGGUUAAAGUGGAAGAAAAGACGUGGUUUCUGUGAAAGUUUCGCUAAAUUUACGGCUUCCGGCGGGAAAUUUGAUGGUUAAAGUUGACGUCGGUGUAACGAGGAUUAGUGUUGACCGACCGAACAUGUGCUGAGAUGCCUUCCUACAGCUUUCUGGAUAACUUGGAGCUUUUUAUCCGGACAGGAAAGUUUCCUGGAAAUGCUUCAACAAGCUCAAAGAAAGUGACCAAAGCUGCCAGCAAACACUUCCUCUACAAAGAUGGCUCUCUGUGGCGAACUUAUCGAGGCCGCCUCCUCCGUGUCGUCAGGAGCGACGAGGAGGUUCGGGACAUCCUGCUGCGUUACCAUGACAACAACAACCACGCUGGCCGAGUUCGGAUGGUGAAGGAGAUCAUGCUCUUGUAUUAUUGGGUCGGAGUGACGGAGGCCGUGAAGAAGUGGAUCAAAGCCUGCACCGUCUGUCAGAACCGACCUCGCCCCGAACCUCUGGACCCGCCCGUCCACUUCUGCCUGGUUUACGGCUGCGAUGCCUCCAGUUACGUUCACCCCGAGCUCAGCUUCCACAGGUGGUUGUCCCUUCGGAGGAUGAAUUUCUUCCCUCCAACACCCUGGAAGACCUUCUGUCGAUAGCUGCUGCUGCAGAAACCCCAGAAUCCUCUGGUCCGGCCUUAGAAGCCCCAGUGGGGCUGCAGGAACACCAGUACUGCCUCCCAGCUCCUGAUCCAGACUCCAUGGAGGUCCAGACGGUGAGGGACCUCAAGAAGAGGAAGACCAUCGUGGAGCCAAGCUUCUCCACUUACAACCAUAUUGCCAGGUAUCUGAGCCACCGAGUCUUACCUCUGCAGAGCAAGAGAAGCAGAGGGGCUUUAAAACGGAUGUCCAAGCGCUUCGGCCUGAUAGACGGAGAGCUGAUGUACACCAGAGUAUCUCCACCUGUCAGAGUCCC
ensembl:lncRNA